GUCUACAGUCAUGCCACCCUGAACAAGCCCAAUCCUGUCUGAUCUUGGAAGCUAAGCAGAGUUGGGCCUGGUUAGUACUUGGAUGGGAGACCACCUUGGAAGACCAGGUUCUGUAGGUG
rfam:Pteropus alecto contig14672, whole genome shotgun sequence.